GAUGAACGCUGGCGGCGUGCCUAAUACAUGCAAGUCGAGCGGACAGACGAGGAGCUUGCUCCUCUGACGUUAGCGGCGGACGGGUGAGUAACACGUGGAUAACCUACCUAUAAGACUGGGAUAACUUCGGGAAACCGGAGCUAAUACCGGAUAAUAUAUUGAACCGCAUGGUUCAAUAGUGAAAGACGGUUUUGCUGUCACUUAUAGAUGGAUCCGCGCCGCAUUAGCUAGUUGGUAAGGUAACGGCUUACCAAGGCAACGAUGCGUAGCCGACCUGAGAGGGUGAUCGGCCACACUGGAACUGAGACACGGUCCAGACUCCUACGGGAAGCAGCAGUAGGGAAUCUUCCGCAAUGGGCGAAAGCCUGACGGAGCAACGCCGCGUGAGUGAUGAAGGUCUUCGGAUCGUAAAACUCUGUUAUUAGGGAAGAACAAAUGUGUAAGUAACUAUGCACGUCUUGACGGUACCUAAUCAGAAAGCCACGGCUAACUACGUG
rnacentral:rRNA from 1 species